CAGGAUCCACAUAAAAGUGAAAACAUAUGGUAUCUGUCUUUCUCUGUAUGGCUUAUUUCACUUAGCAUAACACUCUCCAGUUCCAUCCAUAUAUCACAUUUUUUAAACUGCUAUUUCUAUAAUCUGAGGUGUUCAUACUUUUUCCCAUUCAUAAAGUUAGUGAUCUUCAUAGCUAACUUGAUUCCCUGGCACAUUUCAAUAUUUUAACUUUGUAGACCACAGGCAGAUGUUUAAUGUGCAGGAGAAUGGAGUGGCUCUUAUUCUUGCUGUAGAUGUAAACAUUUUCUAAGUUGGUAUGUUUCGCACUUAAUUCUGGAUUUUUGCAUAAAAGACAGAUAGUAUGUUGUAAUCCUAGAUAAUGUAGCAUGCUUUCUUUACACUAGAUAAACGGUUGGCAGGGAAAUGAGCUACCUAAUUCCUGGGAGACUGACUGAUUUAGGACUCCAGUGCUGUGCUCUGUAUCCACCAGCAUCCAGUUCAUGUGCAUAUUUCCAAAGGCUGCUUGCUCCCAGGAAAUGACUGAGCACAGCAGAAGACUAUGACAGACCUGUUCCUGAAGGGUGACUUUGGCUGAAGGACUCCGUGAUGACCUUGAUGAAGUGUCUUAGAACUGCCCUGGAAAAGGAGGAGAAGAAACUAAUGAAGGAAGAGAUUAAGAAGUAGCCCCCAAGGUCACUGAGGUAAGCAGAGGAAAAUUUGGAGGGAAGGAAGCCUCAUGAGAGAGUCUACAUCUUAAUCAGCUUGAAAUCCUGCCUCUCAGGAUAAGCUAUGGGGAUAAAUGUAUCAGAGUUAUACACGAAAACCAUUGAAUUAAGGUUGUUUUAUAUUAGUU